UACGGAGGGUGCAAGCGUUAAUCGGAAUUACUGGGCGUAAAGCGCACGUAGGCGGUCAAUUAAGUCAGAUGUGAAAGCCCGGAGCUUAACUUUUGAAUCGCAACUGAUACUGGUUGGCUAGAGUCUUGUAGAGGGGAGUAGAAUUCCAUGUGUAGCGGUGAAAUGCGUAGAGAUGUCGAGGAAUACCGGUGGCGAAGGCGGCCCCCUGGACAAAGACUGACGCUCAGGUGCGAAAGCGUGGGGAGCAAACAGG
rnacentral:rRNA from 1 species